UACGUAGGGUGCGAGCGUUGUCCGGAAUUAUUGGGCGUAAAGGGCUCGUAGGCGGUUUGUCGCGUCGGGAGUGAAAUCCACUGGCUUAACUGGUGGCUUGCUUUCGAUACGGGCAGACUGGAGGUAUGCAGGGGAGAACGGAAUUCCUGGUGUAGCGGUGAAAUGCGCAGAUAUCAGGAGGAACACCCAUGGCGAAGGCAGGUCUCUGGGCCACUACUGACGCUGAGAAGCGAAAGCGUGGGGAGCAAACAGG
rnacentral:rRNA from 1 species